rnacentral:rRNA from 1 species
UACGUAGGGUGCGAGCGUUGUCCGGAAUUACUGGGCGUAAAGAGCUCGUAGGCGGUUUGUCGCGUUGUUCGUGAAAACUCACAGCUCAACUGUGGGCGUGCGUGCGAUACGGGCAGACUGGAGUACUGCAGGGGAGACUGGAAUUCCUGGUGUAGCGGUGGAAUGCGCAGAUAUCAGGAGGAACACCGGUGGCGAAGGCGGGUCUCUGGGCAGUAACUGACGCUGAGGAGCGAAAGCGUGGGGAGCGAACAGG